rnacentral:tRNA from 1 species
AGCUCCAUAGUUGAUAGACAACAUUAAAUUGCAAAUUUAAAAGUGUAGAAAUCCUACUGGAGCUU